rnacentral:rRNA from 1 species
CAGUCGCCACGGUAAUACAGAGGGUGCAAGCGUUAAUCGGAAUUACUGGGCGUAAAGCGCGCGUAGGUGGUUUGUUAAGUUGGAUGUGAAAUCCCCGGGCUCAACCUGGGAACUGCAUCCAAAACUGGCAAGCUAGAGUAUGGUAGAGGGUGGUGGAAUUUCCUGUGUAGCGGUGAAAUGCGUAGAUAUAGGAAGGAACACCAGUGGCGAAGGCGACAACCUGGACUGAUACUGACACUGAGGUGCGAAAGCGUGGGGAGCAAACAGGAUUAGAUACCCCGGUAGUCCCUGUCUCUUAUAC